AAUGAACGUUGGCGGCAUGGAUUAGGCAUGCAAGUCGAGCGAGAAGGAAAUCAAAGUUUACUUUGGUUUCCGGAAAGCGGCGAAAGGGAGAGUAACGCGUAGUUAUCUACCCCAAGGCCCGGAAUAGCUGCGGGAAACUGCAGGUAAUGCCGGAUAAUAUCCCCGGAUCAAAGGUGUGAUUCCGCCUUGGGAGGAGACUGCGUUGUACUAGCUUGUUGGUAGGGUAAUGGCCUACCAAGGCUACGAUGCAUAGCGGGCGUGAGAGCGUGGCCCGUCUCACUGGGACUCAAACACUGCCCAGACACCUGCGGGUGGCUGCAGUCGAGAAUCUUCGGCAAUGGGCGAAAUCCUGACCGAGCGAUGCCGCGUGCGGGAUGAAGGCCCUCGGGUUGUAAACCGCUGUCGUAGGGGAGAAAGGACCGUUGAAGAGACGGUUUUGAUCUAUCCUAGGAGGAAGUCCGGGCUAAGUUCGUG
rnacentral:rRNA from 1 species